UUAAAUUGAAGAGUUUGAUCAUGGCUCAGAUUGAACGCUGGCGGCAGGCCUAACACAUGCAAGUCGAACGGUAACAGGAAGCAGCUUGCUGCUUUGCUGACGAGUGGCGGACGGGUGAGUAAUGUCUGGGAAACUGCCUGAUGGAGGGGGAUAACUACUGGAAACGGUGGCUAAUACCGCAUAACGUCGCAAGACCAAAGAGGGGGACCUUCGGGCCUCUUGCCAUCAGAUGUGCCCAGAUGGGAUUAGCUUGUUGGUGAGGUAACGGCUCACCAAGGCGACGAUCCCUAGCUGGUCUGAGAGGAUGACCAGCCACACUGGAACUGAGACACGGUCCAGACUCCUACGGGAGGCAGCAGUGGGGAAUAUUGCACAAUGGGCGCAAGCCUGAUGCAGCCAUGCCGCGUGUAUGAAGAAGGCCUUCGGGUUGUAAAGUACUUUCAGCGGGGAGGAAGGUGUUGUGGUUAAUAACCGCAGCAAUUGACGUUACCCGCAGAAGAAGCACCGGCUAACUCCGUGCCAGCAGCCGCGGUAAUACGGAGGGUGCAAGCGUUAAUCGGAAUUACUGGGCGUAAAGCGCACGCAGGCGGUCUGUCAAGUCGGAUGUGAAAUCCCCGGGCUCAACCUGGGAACUGCAUUCGAAACUGGCAGGCUUGAGUCUUGUAGAGGGGGGUAGAAUUCCAGGUGUAGCGGUGAAAUGCGUAGAGAUCUGGAGGAAUACCGGUGGCGAAGGCGGCCCCCUGGACAAAGACUGACGCUCAGGUGCGAAAGCGUGGGGAGCAAACAGGAUUAGAUACCCUGGUAGUCCACGCCGUAAACGAUGUCUACUUGGAGGUUGUGCCCUUGAGGCGUGGCUUCCGGAGCUAACGCGUUAAGUAGACCGCCUGGGGAGUACGGCCGCAAGGUUAAAACUCAAAUGAAUUGACGGGGGCCCGCACAAGCGGUGGAGCAUGUGGUUUAAUUCGAUGCAACGCGAAGAACCUUACCUGGUCUUGACAUCCACGGAACUUUCCAGAGAUGGAUUGGUGCCUUCGGGAACCGUGAGACAGGUGCUGCAUGGCUGUCGUCAGCUCGUGUUGUGAAAUGUUGGGUUAAGUCCCGCAACGAGCGCAACCCUUAUCCUUUGUUGCCAGCGGUCCGGCCGGGAACUCAAAGGAGACUGCCAGUGAUAAACUGGAGGAAGGUGGGGAUGACGUCAAGUCAUCAUGGCCCUUACGACCAGGGCUACACACGUGCUACAAUGGCGCAUACAAAGAGAAGCGACCUCGCGAGAGCAAGCGGACCUCAUAAAGUGCGUCGUAGUCCGGAUUGGAGUCUGCAACUCGACUCCAUGAAGUCGGAAUCGCUAGUAAUCGUGGAUCAGAAUGCCACGGUGAAUACGUUCCCGGGCCUUGUACACACCGCCCGUCACACCAUGGGAGUGGGUUGCAAAAGAAGUAGGUAGCUUAACCUUCGGGAGGGCGCUUACCACUUUGUGAUUCAUGACUGGGGUGAAGUCGUAACAAGGUAACCGUAGGGGAACCUGCGGUUGGAUCACCUCCUUACCUUAAAGAA
rnacentral:rRNA from 12 species